UACGAGGGGGGCGAGCGUUGUUCGGAAUUAUUGGGCGUAAAGGGCGCGUAGGCGGUUUGAUAAGUCUUGUGUGAAAUCUUCGGGCUCAACUCGAAGUCUGCACGAGAAACUAUCUGGCUUGAGUGUGGGAGAGGUGAGUGGAAUUCCUGGUGUAGCGGUGAAAUGCGUAGAUAUCAGGAGGAACACCUGUGGCGAAAGCGGCUCACUGGACCACAACUGACGCUGAGGCGCGAAAGCUAGGGGAGCAAACAGG
rnacentral:rRNA from 1 species